GCGGGUUUAGCUCAGUUGGGAGAGCGUCAGACUGAAGUCAAACUUCAUUCCUCGGAUAAUCUGAAGGUCAUGUGUUCGAUCCACAUAAACCGCA
rnacentral:tRNA from 1 species